rnacentral:lncRNA from 1 species
AUCACCUCCAGGAGACCAGGAGCCUUCAGGUGAACGAGCAACUUCCACUGCACCAAAAAGCAGACAUCCAGAGGCUCGACUGCUUGGGUGGAAGCUUUGAUGGAUUGACAUGCAUAUGCAUUUUUCAUAAUCUCUUAAUGCAGACCAUUAAAAUAGGCCUAUUUCAGUUACCACAUAUUUUAGAUUUUUUCUGCUUACUGUCAUCUCUACUUUCUUGUCAGAUUAAGCAACUAAUAAAUGAAUAUGCGCACUAUCCUACCAUUUUUGCACUCAGUUAUGGGGCCAUAUAUAUGUUAAAACAAGAGUAUGUGUGCUCUGCUAUUCUGCAAUUUAAAUCAAGCAUGCAGUCUCAUGUGAUCAUUUCAUUGCUAAUGUUGCUUUUCUCUCUCCAGAUUGCUAAUGAUACUAUGCUUGCAUGAGCCCAUGAAACAAGCAAUAAUCUAUCUUAAAAUUUGCAUCCAGGCAUAUAAUGGUUCAACAACUUUCGAGCUUUGACUAUGGUUAUGUAGCACGCUGACAAGACAAGAGAAUAAUGCCUCUUAAGGUUCAGACCAUGAGCUUCGUGAAUUAGCACAAUUUUGUUCUCAUGCAUGACUGCAAAUAUUUGAAGUUUUUACAUUUUUUUUACUCAUGAAGGCAUUUGUCCGAGCUAUGCCGCCUCUCGUCAAACUCGAGCUCGACGCUCCGUCUACAGACAAGCACAAUCCGCACAUGAUCUCCUCCCAGCUUUCGACAUGUUAUUCUUGCAUGCAAGGCUAAGCUAUCUCCACCAGCUCCUUUUUUUGUCCUAGCUCUUCCCUGCCCUGGCAAAACCAAAUGCUACCAUCUCGUUUUUUUGCCAUGCUAAAACUUAUGUGAGUUCAUCGUCAUGGAUAGAUUAGCAACUGCCAAGCAAUCUGUCACAAAAACAUGUCAGGCAGCUAGGCAUGCGAGUGACGUGUGUUGGUAAGAUUGGAUGUUUGUGUGUAAAUGUAAAUCACGAAAAAUGAUUCUUGGUAUCUAGAGAAGAAACACACACAAACACACACACACACACACACACACACACACACACACACACGAGAGAGAG